rnacentral:tRNA from 1 species
ACCUGGGUGGCUCAGUCAGUUAAGCGCCCGACUUUGGAUCAGGUUAUGAUCUCAUGGUUCGUGGGUUUGAGUCCCACAUCGGGCU